CACAAAGUAAACUGCACGCUUUAGUUGUGAAGCAAAAACGCUGAAACCGGAGAAAUAAAACGUGCGAGGGGAAUGAUAACGACGACAAGAGUCUCCCGAUCGUUUACUGUUGCUGUCCUGUGAACAACACCGGCGUGGUGUUAAUUGUUUGCUGUUUUCGCGAUCGCGUCGCGCAUGAGGAUAUCACCAGCGAGGUUUUCGGAAAGUUGAUCCAAGCUCCUUUAGGAGAUGACGUUGAGUUUCGGCUGUCAGAGGAGUGCCUGAAGGGACGGGGGAGACUGAAUCUGCGAAGGAAUGAUGCCACCACGCAGCUGAUCGCCUCCCUGGAAAACGUCUGGAAACCCGGACCACAACAUCCAGACCGCGUGAAUCAAAGUGGGCUCUUUCUCAUCCUGGAAAACGCAGAUCUGAACGACGAAGGGCUGUACGAGUUUACGUGCAACGGCAAAGACUUGGAAGCGAUCAAGCUGGAAGUAUUUGUCCCCUCUGAAGUUGAUGUAUCCGAGGGCGAGGAUGCCACACUCCCGUGCCGCUCCGUCACCGCGGGCCAGUCGGUGAAAUCUGCGCGCUGGAGGAGAAAUGGAAACGCGGUGCUUCAGCUGGAUGGAACAGGAGGAAUCACAUACGAGGAAGACGUUAACACAAGCCGGGUGUCGAUACCAUCAGAGUGGGACCGACAAGCAGACCUGUCCCUCACCAUAAAGAGAGUCCAGCAACAAGAUGAAGGAGUUUAUUACUGUGACAUAGACAAGGCAGAGAAACACCGCUCUGCUGUCCGCCUGCGAGUCCGUCCCGAAGUCCCCACAGCAGCCGGUAGCACACCUCUGCCUACAACCACACCGACGCCAUCAGAGUCCUCUGAUAGGACAUGGAUCACAGUGAUCACAGUCCUUGUAACAGCAGCUGUAACAUCUGGGAUCGUUGGUCCUCUGACUUUCCUCUUGGGCCGGAAACGGAGGAGAGAAACAAGAGAUGAAGAGACCGGAGCCCAACAAAACGGACGCCAUACCACCAAUAAUGAUCAGUCAUCAGGAGAUCAGCACGUCUCUACAAAUGGCUUUAAAAGGCCACCUGGUGCUCCAGAGGAAAUUACCCUACUGCCCAUUAAUAAUAAUAAUAAUAACAAUAAUAAUAAUAAUAAUAAUAAAGAAUAACGAAUGAAAUAAACAUAAUUUUUUAAAUAAAGAAACUGGUUGUUUUACUUGGAGACGCUCAUUAGUGUCUCCAUGUCUUCCUAUCGUGUCUAACUUCAUGUUCUGUUAUCACUAAAAGUUGUAAAAUGUUGUAUCACUAAAAUAUCAUUCUCAGUCAGUUGUUACUUAUUGUUUACAGCGCCCUAUGUGGUUGCUCCAAGUAAUGCGCUUUAGAAACGGCUUUAUUUUGGAAAAAACUUUAUUGAACAGGAAGUCCGCUCAGUCAAGCAAAGCAAGUGAGCAAGAAGAAGGGAAACAUAUCGGCACACAGUUUAUGGUGUCCUGUUGGAAAAAAUACUGCCCACAUCUUCUGUUUAUGGUUGUAUCGCCGCCAUCAGAGUCCUCUGAUAGGACAUGGAUCACAGUGAUCACAGCGAUCCUUGUAACAGCAGCUGUAACAUCUGGGAUCGUUGUUCCUCUGGCUUUCCUCUUGGGCCGGAAACAGAGGAGAGAAACAAGAGAUGAAGAGACCGGAGCCCAACUAAACGGGUGCCACACCACCAAUAAUGAUCAGUCAUCAGGAGAUCAGCACGUCUCUACAAAUGGCUUUAAAAGGCCACCUGGUGCUCCUGAGGAAAUUACCCUACUGCCC
ensembl:lncRNA